rnacentral:rRNA from 1 species
CUAGCGACUUCAGAGUUUGAUCCUGGCUCAGGACGAACGCUGGCGGCGUGCCUAACACAUGCAAGUCGAACGAAGCAUUUAAGUGAAUCCCUUCGGGGUGAAGCUUUUAUGACUUAGUGGCGGACGGGUGAGUAACGCGUGAGUAACCUGCCUUUCAGAGGGGGAUAACAGUUGGAAACGACUGCUAAUACCGCAUAACGUAUCGGAACCGCAUGAUUCUGAUACCAAAGCUGAGGCGCUGAAAGAUGGACUCGCGUCUGAUUAGAUAGUUGGUGAGGUAACGGCUCACCAAGUCGACGAUCAGUAGCCGGACUGAGAGGUUGAACGGCCACAUUGGGACUGAGACACGGCCCAG